CUCGUAGGCGGCCAACUAAGUCACACGUGAAAUCCCUCAGCUUAACUGGGGAACUGCGUGUGAUACUGGAUGGCUUGGAUCCGGGAGAGGGAUGCGGAAUUCCAGGUGUAGCGGUGAAAUGCGUAGAUAUCUGGAGGAACACCGGUGGCGAAGGCGGCAUCCUGGACCGGUAUUGACGCUGAGGAGCGAAAGCCAGGGAGCAAACG
rnacentral:rRNA from 1 species